rnacentral:RNase_MRP_RNA from 1 species
GUCCAUGUUGCAAGAAUCAUCUGUCGAGAUACACACAAGGGGCUCACGCCCACAGUUAUGGUCUUGGGGAAAGUCUCCGGCACGUUCUUUCAGGCGGCAACGUCAGAUGGAUCACCACAAAUCCAUUUCCACACAGCAACCCGUCGACACCAGCACUGGAACCUCUUAGGUCAUACAUAGUCUGUUUUUGCUAGCAUGGCGACUGUUGCGGCUGCCCCAUACCUGGGCCCUCGCAUUUAGUUGGACUGUUGGCGGCCGUCUCUGGCAGGAAAUAUGGACUGUGAGACUAUGUUGUACCAUGUGCACCGUCGACACCGUUCUGUUGGUCUUUCGGGGGACAUUGCUACCUCGGUGCAUGUCCCCUUGUUUGAGAUCACUCUUUCUUUGAAUGGGUGUAUUCUGCAAAGCGCCAUGUGGCGCUAACGAUGGAUAUGAUGAUUGUCGUCGGCACUUGCGUGCCGACGAUAACCCAAUGGAGCUCACUUGCAGCAUGGA